rnacentral:lncRNA from 1 species
AAUACCUUUAUUUUAUUUUUAUGUGGUGCUGAGAAUCAAACCUAGUGUCUCAUGCAUGUUAGGCGAGCACUUUACCACUGAGCCACAACCCAGUCCCUAAAAGGUCUUUUAAUAGACCACAAAUUCUAGAGUUCAUCUGUGCAUACAUCAUACAUUUAUAACUAUGUUUGAUAUCAAAUGUUAUGUUUUAUAUUCAAUUGGUAUAAUCAGUGUUCACUUGAAGGACUUUUUCUUGGAAAGGGAAGAAGAAUGGGAAAAAGGGGGAAAAAGAGUGAAGAACAUGGAAAAAUAAUGAAUGGCUAUGUUAAUGAAAAGCCUGCUAUUGCUAUUGUUAGUGUUUUCAGGUUGAAGAAGGCAAAAAUAUCACCUUCAGUCAUUUCAGGUGAAAUUAAUACUGCUAGUCUAAAAGUUGUGAUUAGUCUAACUUUCUCAAGAGUUGUUAGAAAAUGUUUAUUACUGAUUUUCUGGAUGAACAUUUCUCCAACUAUGAUUUAAGCAUCACCAACUGUGUUAGCUAAUUGCAUUGAGGCAUUUGAUGCUCCUCCCUAAUCUGUUGAAUUGAAAUUCCUAGAUGCCUAGAGAUUUAAAAAAAAACUCCUUAGACAAUUCUAAUCACCACAAAGAUUGAGACCUAUUGUCCUGCAUAAAUAGUUGGGUAAAAAUUUGAAAUCCUAAAAGUAAGGCAAAUGUAAAGCUGGAUGUUUGAUUAAGGUAGCAUGUAUCACUGAAUACACCUAAAAUAAUUCUGAUAUUAAAAACUAACAUUUUAAAGUAACUUGUUUUAAAUCUAAAACUCUAAAGAGUGUAGGUCAGUGUAGAAUGCAUAUGUACAAAGUUCCUAGGUUCAAUACCCAACACCAAAAAGCAAAACAAAACAAAAAUACCUCUUAAGAGUAAUAGCAUGUGAACAGCUAAUUUGUACAUUAUUUCAGUAUCAUUCAUAAAUUGCUUUUGAUUCCUUUGACUUUGAAGCAAUUCCAUAAAUCUGCUUUUGACUAUAACUUGGUAUGUGCCUUUGGAUUAAGAAUUGGAUUUUUGAACUCUUUUAGAGAACUUUUAAAGUGGUGCUAUCUUUUCAUUAUUCCUAUGUCACUGGGUUGGGCCCACAUAUUUUUAAAUAUGAAACGGUGCAAAUUAAAAAUUGCUAUUCAUCUCUAUCCAUCAAGUUAACUAUUUUUUUUUUUGAGUUGGUAGUAGCGGAGGGAUGAGAUGUGAAAGAAGUGACCUGAAAAUAUGAAACUAAUGCUAGUUGAAUAUGGAGAAAGUAUCAAG